rnacentral:rRNA from 1 species
AGGACGAACGCUGGCGGCGUGCUUAACACAUGCAAGUCGAGCGGAAAGGCCCUUCGGGGUACUCGAGCGGCGAACGGGUGAGUAACACGUGAGCAAUCUGCCCUUAGCUUCGGGAUAGCUCCGGGAAACCGGAAUUAAUACCGAAUAUGACUUCGGCCGACAUCGGCCUUGGUGGAAAGUUUUUCGGCUAGGGAUGAACUCGCGGCCUAUCAGCUUGUUGGUGGGGUAAUGGCCUACCAAGGCGACGACGGGUAGCCGGCCUGAGAGGGCGACCGGCCACACUGGGACUGAGACACGGCCCAGACUCCUACGGGAGGCAGCAGUGGGAAUAUUGCGCAAUGGGCGAAAGCCUGACGCAGCGACGCCGCGUGGGGGAUGAAGGCCUUCGGGUUGUAAACCCCUUUCAGCAGGGACGAAGCGAAAGUGACGGUACUGCAGAAGAAGCGCCGGCUAACUACGUGCCAGCAGCCGC